AUUGAACGCUGGCGGCAGGCCUAACACAUGCAAGUCGAACGAGUGGCGGACGGGUGAGUAAUGUCUGGGAAACUGCCCGAUGGAGGGGGAUAACUACUGGAAACGGUAGCUAAUACCGCAUACCAUCGGAUGUGCCCAGAUGGGAUUAGCUAGUAAGUGGGUUAACGGCCUACCUAGGCGACGAUCCCUAGCUGGUCUGAGAGGAUGACCAGCCACACGGGAACUGAGACACGGUCCAGACUCCUACGGGAGGCAGCAGUGGGGAAUAUUGCACAAUGGGCGCAAGCCUGAUGCAGCCAUGCCGCGUGUAUGAAGAAGGCCUUCUGGUUGUAAAGUACUUUCAGCGGGGAGGCGUUACCCGCAGAAGAAGCACCGGCUAACUCCGUGCCAGCAGCCGCGGUAAUUC
rnacentral:rRNA from 1 species